UACGUAGGGAGCGAGCGUUAUCCGGAUUUAUUGGGUGUAAAGGGUGCGUAGACGGGAGAAUAAGUUAGUUGUGAAAUCCCUCGGCUUAACUGAGGAACUGCAACUAAAACUAUUUUUCUUGAGUACUGGAGAGGAAAGUGGAAUUCCUAGUGUAGCGGUGAUAUGCGUAGAUAUUAGGAGGAACACCAGUGGCGAAGGCGACUUUCUGGACAGAAACUGACGUUGAGGCACGAAAGUGUGGGGAGCAAACAGG
rnacentral:rRNA from 1 species